GCUGUUCGGUGAUGAGGCUCAGAGUGCACGCUGGGCACAGCGCCCGAAUCAGACACUGUGGAACCAUUCUCUACUGCCUUCCUUCUGAGAACAGC